rnacentral:rRNA from 1 species
CAUGUAGGUGGAUCAAUUAGUCUGCUGUGAAAGUCAAAGGCUCAACCUUUGAAAGCCGGUGGAUACUGUUGGUCUAGAGUACGGAAGAGGCGAGUGGAAUUCCUGGUGUAGCGGUGGAAUGCGCAGAUAUCAGGAGGAACACCAAUAGCGAAGGCAGCUCGCUGGGACGUUACUGACACUGAGAUGCGAAAGCGUGGGGGCAAACA